GAUGAACGCUGGCGGCGUGCCUAAUACAUGCAAGUCGAGCGGUAAGGCUCCUGCAGAUUGUUUUGAUCGUUAAAGAUGAGGGAAGGCUCCUGAUUCUGAUCGAAUAAUGUGCUGGAGUACACGAGCGGCGGACGGCUGAGUAACACGUAGGAACGUACCCCAAACUGAGGGAUAAGCACCAGAAAUGGUGUCUAAUACCGCAUGUGCUCUUCGGAGUAAAGCUACGGCGGUUUGGGAACGGCCUGCGCAAGAUUAGCUAGUUGGUGAGGUAAUAGCUCACCAAGGCGACGAUCUUUAGCUGGUCUGAGAGGAUGACCAGCCAGACUGGGACUGAGAACGGCCCAGACUCCUACGGGAGCAGCAGUAGGAAUCUCCACAAUGGACGCAAGUCUGAUGGAGCAACGCCGCGUGCA
rnacentral:rRNA from 1 species